CAGUCGCCACGGUAAUACGAAGGGGGCUAGCGUUGUUCGGAAUUACUGGGCGUAAAGCGCACGUAGGCGGAUAUUUAAGUCAGGGGUGAAAUCCCAGAGCUCAACUCUGGAACUGCCUUUGAUACUGGGUAUCUUGAGUAUGGAAGAGGUGAGUAGAAUUCCGAGUGUAGAGGUGAAAUUCGUAGAUAUUCGGAGGAACACCAGUGGCGAAGGCGGUUCACUGGUCCAUUACUGACGCUGAGGUGCGAAAGCGUGGGGAGCAAACAGGAUUAGAUACCCGAGUAGUCCCUGUCUCUUAUAC
rnacentral:rRNA from 1 species